AUACGGAGGGUGCAAGCGUUACUCGGAAUCACUGGGCGUAAAGCGCGCGCAGGCGGUUUGAUAAGUUGGAUGUGAAAUCCUAUGGCUCAACCAUAGAACUGCAUCCAAAACUGUCAAACUAGAGUCUGGGAGAGGAAGAUGGAAUUAGUUGUGUAGGGGUAAAAUCCGUAGAGAUAACUAGGAAUACCAAAAGCGAAGGCGAUCUUCUGGAACAGUACUGACGCUGAGGCGCGAAAGCGUGGGGAGCAAACAGGAUUAGAUACCCUUGUAGUCC
rnacentral:rRNA from 1 species